AGCUGGGCGACUGGCUGAUGGGCGAGGGAGGGCGAGGGAGGGCGCCGCAACGGAACGAGGAACCCGGACAGUGAAGGAGGAAGAAACAAAGGAGCCAGCAGCACUAGAGAGUUCCCUUCUGGUGUGUGAGUGCCCGCCUUCCUUUUUUUUUUUUUUUUUUUUGAGACGGAGUCUCGCUCUGUCGCCCAGGCUGGAGUGCAGUGGCGCGAUCUCGGCUCACUGCAAGCUCCGCCUCCCGGAUUCACGCCAUUCUCCUGCCUCAGCCUCCCAAGUAGCUGGGACUACAGGCACCCGCCACUACGCCCGGCUAGUUUUUUGUAUUUUUAGUAGAGACGGGGUUUCACCGUUUUAGCCGGGAUGGUCUCGAUCUCCUGACCUCGUGAUCCGCCCGCCUCGGCCUCCCAAAGUGCUGGGAUUACAGGCGUGAGCCACCGCGCCCGGCCGAGUGCCCGCCUUCCUAACCACGUCCUAGCCUUCCAUUUGAGGGGCCGUUCCAGGCAUUUUAGGAAGAAAGCUUACAAAAAUAAGAAAGUACAAGAACGAAGCAAACAUCUGUACGUUUUAGUUACUUGGGGUGGGGGGGGGGCAAGCAUGACAUUGGAGUAAAGCCAAUCAUUAUUAUAAAUUAAAAAGAAGCUGUCAUGGAAAUUAGAGAUCUCAGAACAGAGCUAGGUACUCUUCCAGACCCCAGACAAAUCUUUCACCUUGUUUAGGCCUUGGUUUUGGAUUUGUAAAACAAGAGUGCAUGGGUAGAUUUCUAAAGUCUCUCCUAAUUGCUAAUUUUAGUUUAUAAUAACAUGACUUGAGGCUGGGCACAGUGGCUCACGCCUGUAAUCCCAGCACUUUGGGAGGCCGAGGUGGGCGGAUCACUUGAGGUCAGGAGUUCGAGACCAGCCUGGCCAACAUGGUGAAACCCAUUCUCAACUAAAAAUACAAAAAUUAACCGGGCAUGGUGGUGCGUGCCCGUAAUCCCAGCUACUUAAGAGGCUGAGACAGAAGAAUCACUUGAGCCUGGGAGGCGGACGUUGCAGUGAGCCUGAGGAAGGAGAGAGACCCUCUCAUAUUGUUUUAUACUCAGUACCUGUUUUAAGAAAAAAAGAAACAGCAAGGAAGUAAAACCAAAGACAGGCAGCCCAGCGCCAGGCCGGAAACCAGGCCUGGGCCUGCCUGGCCUAAACUCAGUAGUUAAAAAUCAACUCAUAACUUAGAAACCGAUGUUAUUCAUGGAUUCCAGACAUUGUGCAGCAGAACAUUGUGAAACUCCCUGCCCUGUUCUGUUUCUCUCUGACCACCGGUACAUGCAGCCCCUGUCAUGUACCGCUUGUUUGCUCAAAUCAAUCAUGACCCUUUCAUGUGAAAUCUUUAGUGUCGUGAGCCCUUAAAAGGGACAGAAAUUGUGCACUUGGGGAGCUCAGAUUUUGAGGCAGUAGCUUGCUGAUGCUCCCAGCUGGAUAAAGCCCUUCCUUCUACAACUCGGUGUCUGAGAGGUUUUGUCUGCGGCUCAUCCUACUAAAAGCUGAGAUUGCGCCACUGCACUCCAGCCUGGACAACAAGAGCAAGACUCAGUCUCAACGAAAGAAAGAAAAAAACAAAAACCGGCCGGGCAUGGUGGCUCACUCCUGUAAUCCCAGCACUUGGGGAGGCUGAGGUGGGCAGAUCACGAGGUUAGGAGAUCGAGACCAUCCUGGCUAACACGGUGAAACCCCAUCUCUACUAAAAAUACAAAAAAUUAGCCGGGUGUGGUGGCGGGCGCCUGUGGUCCCAGUUACUCGGGAGGCUGAGGCAGGAGAAUGGCAUGAACCUGGGAGGCGGAGCUUGCAGUGAGCCGAGAUUAUGCCACUGCAGUCCAGCCCAGGCAACAGAGCAAGACUCUGUCUCAAAAAAAAAAAAGUAAAUAAAUAAACCUACCGUACAACCCAGCAAUCCCACUACUGAGUAUCUAUCUAAAGGGAAAGAAAUCAACAUAUCAAAAGGAUACCUGCUCUCACAUGUUUACUGAAGGACUAUCACAAUAGCAUAAAUAUGGAACCAGCCUGUGUCCAUGAACAGAUGAAUGGGUAAAGAAUUUGUGGUAUGUAGGCCAGGCACGGUGGUUCACGCCUGUAAUCCCAGCACUUUGGGCAGCUGAGGCUGGUGGAUCACCUGAGGUCAGGAGUUCGAGACCAGCCUGGCCAACAGGGCGAAACCCCAUCUCUAUUAAAAAUACAAAAAUUAGCUGGGCAUGGUGGCGCACACCUGUAAUCCCAGCUACUCUGGAGGCUGAGGCGGGAGAAUUGCUUGAACCUGGGAGGCGGAGGUUGCAGUAAGCUGAGAUCGUACCACUCCAGCCUGGGUGACAGAGUGAGACUCCAUCUCAAAAAAAAAAAAAAAACAAAGACAAAUAAUGGAAAGCCAGGUGUGGUCAUGCACACCUGUAGUCCCAGCUACUUGGGAAGCUGAGAUGGGGGGAAUCACUUAUGCCCAGGAGUUUGAGGGUAGCCUGGGCAACAUAGAAGACCUGUCUCUUUAAAUAAAUACAUAAAUAUAAAAGUGGAAAAAAGCUUGUGGGAUAAAAAUAUAAAAAACAUGAUUCUAAGUGAAAGAUGCAAGACGCAAAAAUGUCACAUACUGUAUGCUUCCAUUUAUGUGAAAUGUCCAGAAUAGGCAAAUCCAUCGAGAUAGAAAGUAGAUGAGUGGUUGCUAGGGAUAGGAGAAAGGAGGAAUGGGAAAUGACUGCUAAUGAGUAUGGGGUUUUCUGGGGGUGGGGGUAAUAAAAAUGUUCUAAAAUUCGAUAAUAGUGAUGGUUGUACAAUCUUGUAAGUAUAUGAAAACUCGAUUGUAUACUUUAAAUGGGUGAAUUUAUGGUGGAUGAAUUAUAUUGUGAUAAUGCUAUUUUUUAAAAAACAAAUUCUCUAGCUGCAUGGAGAAUUAAUUUUAGUGGGAGAAAAAGAGGAAGCGGGGCGACUAGGUAGGAGGAUAUUAUAGGGAAUGAGGGCAGAGAUCAUAGCGGCUUGGACUAGAGUGGUGGCAGUGGGG
rnacentral:lncRNA from 1 species